rnacentral:rRNA from 1 species
AGCGAAUAGAUACCUUGGUAGUCCACGCCCUAAACGAUGUCUACUAGUUGUCGGGGAUUCAUUUCCUUGGUAAACGCAGCUAAACGCGUGAAGUAGACCGCCUGGGGAGUACGGCCGCAAGGUUAAAACUCAAAGGAAUUGACGGGGACCCGCACAAGCGGUGGAUGAUGUGGAUUAAUUCGAUGCAACGCGAAAAACCUUACCUACGCUUGACAUGCCAGGAACUUUCCAGAGAUGGAUUGGUGCCCGAAAGGGAACCUGGACACAGGUGCUGCAUGGCUGUCGUCAGCUCGUGUCGUGAGAUGUUGGGUUAAGUCCCGCAACGAGCGCAACCCUUAUCCUUAGUUGCUACGCAAGGGCACUCUAGGGAGACUGCCGGUGACAAACCGGAGGAAGGUGGGGAUGACGUCAAGUCCUCAUGGCCCUUAUGUGUAGGGCUUCACACGUCAUACAAUGGUCGGUACAGAGGGUCGCCAACCCGCAAGGGGGUAGCCAAUCCCAGAAAACCCGACCGUAGUCCGGAUUGCAGUCUGCAACUCGACUGC